rnacentral:rRNA from 1 species
AUACAUAUAUUAUUAUAGAGAUGAAUAAUAAAUAAAUAAAAAAAUUUGAAGAAAUUUAUUAAUUUUAUUAAUAUUUAGAAUGUUUAAUUAUUAUAUUAUUUAAAGUAAUAUUAAAAAAGUGUGGAUUUAAAUUGUUUAAGUAAAUUAUAUUAAUAGAAAAAAUAAAUUUAUAUUUAAAUGUAAAUUAAAGUUGAAAUAAUUUAAAAUUAUUAAGGUAAAAAGUAAAAUUAAUUUUUUGUACCUUUUGUAUCAGGGUUUUUUAAUUAAAUAUUUAAAUAUUUUAAAAUUCUCGAAUUAAUUUAGAGUUAAUAUUAUAUUUAAGUUAAUGUUUAAUUAUUAUUUAAAAUAUUAUAUUAGAGGAGAAAUUCUAGUCAAUGGUUAAGAUAUCUAGUUUUUUUAGAAAUAAAUUUAAUUUAUUUAUUAAAUAUAAAUAUUUAUAAUUAUUAUAUUAUAAAAUAAUAAAAAAUAUAUUUGUGUAUAAUAAGAUAUUUUGAUAUAUUAAUUUUAUAAAGGUAAAGUAAAAGUAUUUUGUAUUUUAUUAGUAAGCAGUGUAAUAUAUUUUUAUUUAAAUUUAUUUAAUAAAAAAAAUUUUAGGGAUUAGCUUAGAAUUUAAGGUUAAAAAUUAUUUUUUAGUUAAUAUAAAUUGAAUAAAAAUUAUAGAUUUAGAAGUGAUUAUUAUAUAAAUUGUUUAAUAACUUAUUUUUAUUUGUAAUAAUAUGUUAAUUUUGUAAAAAAUAUUUUAAUUUUGUAUAAAAAUAAUAUAAUAAAUUAUUUAUUAUAUAAAAUAAUGAAAAAAUUAUUAUAAUUUAUUAAUUGUAGUUUUAAUUUAUUUUAAUUAUUAUAAAAAUUUUUAAUAGUAUAUUAUUUGUAUUAUUAUUAAUAAUAUUUAAAGGUAAAUAUAAUUAUAAGGAAUUAGACAAAAUAGAAAUAUUUACCUGUUUAACAAAAACAUGUCUUUUUGAUGUUAUAAUUUAAAGUCUAAUCUGCCCAAUGAAAAAAGUUUGAAUGGCCGCGGUAUUUUGACCGUGCAAAGGUAGCAUAAUAAUUAGUUCUUUAAUUGAGAGCUUGUAUGAAAGAUUGAAUAAAAUAUUUAUUGUCUCAUAGUUAUUUAUAUUAAAAUUUAAUUUUUAAGUUAAAAAGCUAAAAUUUAUUUAGAGGACGAGAAGACCCUAUAGAUUUUUAUAAAAAUAAAUUUAUAUAUAAAUAAAUUUUUUAUUAUUAUUAAAUAUAUUUUUAUUUUGUUGGGGUGAUAUUAAAAUUGAAUUAACUUUUAAUUAUUAAUUAUAUUGAUUUAUAUAGUUUAAUAUUAAAUAUUAUUAAAAAUAUAUUUAAUAUUUAUAAUGAGCCUAUUAUUAUAGAUUAUUAGAAAUAAAUACCUUAGGGAUAACAGCGUAAUUUAUUUGGAGAGAUCACAUUAAUAAAUAAGUUUGCGACCUCGAUGUUGAAUUAAGAUAAUGUUUGGGUGGAGAUACUUAAAUAAAUAGGUCUGUUCGACCUUUAAAAUCUUACAUGAUUUGAGUUCAGAUCGGCGUGAGCCAGAUCGGAUUCUAUCCUUAAAAAUUUUUAUAAGUAUUUUUGUACGAAAGGACUUUAUAUUUUAAAUAAUUUAAAUUAUAUUUUUAGAGUUAAAUUAAAAAUAAUUUUGUGAAAUUUAAUAAUAUUAAAAAGUAUUUAAUUUAUUAUAUAAAUAAAUAAUU